ensembl:lncRNA
GUGUGUGUGUGUGUGUGUGUGUGUGUGUGUGUUCAUCUGUGUUGUCAUAACAACAGAUGCUAUUACCUUUGGAAACAGGCGUUUGUCAGCAGAUUGAUGGAUACUUCCUGGAUUGGACUGAGUGAUCGAGAGAAAGAGGGGACCCACAAGUGGGUGGAUGGUACCCCCAUGACCUCAAGUUGGAGACACGUUAAACCACGCGAUGACGGCGGAGCAAGAGACUGUGUCGUAGCAGGGGAGGACGGCUGGUCUGAAGAACCGUGUAACAGACUGCACCACUGGAUCUGUGAGAAGGUCCUAGACCUGGAUCAUCUGGAGGCUGAGCGGAACAAAGAGGAUGCCUGUGACCUCACACUGGACCCCAACACGGCCCACAGAGAACUCUCUCUGUCUGAGGACAACAGGAAGGUGACGGGGUUGAGAG